rnacentral:sRNA from 2 species
UAUUCUUUAUCGCUUAAUUCAAUUUGAAGCGGGGGACCCGAGUCACAGGGGUGAAUCCACAUCGCUGCAAGGUUCUUGAUCUGAAAGGCAUAGGCCGGUGCGCCCAUGCUGAAAGGGGAAUCCUUGUUUGCGGCUUGAGGUAGGGCUACUUCCAUCGCCCGAAUCCGUCAGCUAACCUCGUAAGCGUAAUGGGAGAGGAUGA